GGAUACAUGUCAUGGUUUAGGAUCUAUGGCAAGCUAUAUUUGCUAUCAGAAGAGCAAAGGCGUCGGCAAAUCCAUGUCGAAAGGAAAUGACGGGGCCCUUUAAAUCAAAGAAGAAGGGAUGACGGCACGGGCCCAUCAACAGCGCCCACACAAUCACCAGGCCCAACACCUCAAGCGACGACACCUACACCACAGCCCCUUCAGAUUAUGCCAGGUGCAUAUCCUAGCCCUUAUAUGUAUCCUAACCCUUAUAUGUUUCCUUUUCCCAAUCCUAUGCCACGUUGGAAUGCAUGGCCCGGUAGAUCUCCUUUCUCGAUGACUCUGACUCAACCGAUGGUAUAUAGGCCAUCGUCGUAGGAGGGAUCGCACGAGACACUGUCGGGGAGCUCAUCUCAUUACCAAUCCCCAUCGCCUUAUGGGAUUCAAACACCUUCGCCGUGGGUGAUGCAAACACCUCCGUAUUCUUUAUUCUAUUAAGGUGGUUCAUCCUCCCAACACCCACAACCAAAACAGCCACAACCCCCACCGGAGCAACCACAACCCCCGUCGGAAGCUGAACCAAGGAGGAAUCUAGUGCGUAACCGUCGACCGCUCCCAUGUGACACUAAUUCCGACCGGCACAUACAUUGAUUUUUUUAAUAUAUUUGUACAAAC
rnacentral:lncRNA from 1 species